CUAUGGUCGUAAACCGUCUCUGGUUCAGUCAACGCGCGCCUGAACUUCAGUCCUCACAAAAACGAUCUGUUUUUUAUUCGCUUACAGUAUUUACAACUUCAGACUUUAGACCACGUUAUUAUCAUGCUGCGCAAUGCUGCCGGUGCUUAAAACCACCGACUGAUCUGCGCAGGCGUGAGAGGACUACAAUAAAAGUCAAAUCAAAUGAACGUCAAAGGCAGGUAUACAAAGCUAUGACUGACAGAAUCGCUGUGUCAGUGCUGGAGCUUCUGUCUGCGCAGCAGUAAAUUGGAAGCACAGACUGAGAAAGAGAGGACAACUCAACGCUAAACUAGAACAGUAAACCAUGUCGAAACCAGGCAGUGCCAAGGGCCAACCCCACACUGGGAAGAAGCGGUUCAUCAGUGGAGUAGUGGAAGGUUUUUAUGGGCGACCAUGGACUAUGGGGCAGAGAACAGAGCUGUUUAAAAGAGAACAGAAGUGGGGUUUGAACACGUACCUGUACGCCCCUAAGGAUGACUACAAACACAGGAUGUACUGGAGGGACCUGUACUCGGCUGAGGAGGCAGAGCAACUCAUCGCUCUAAUAUCAGCAGCUAAACAGCACGACGUCGAGUUCAUCUAUGCAAUCUCUCCCGGCCUGGACAUCACGUUCUCUAACCCCAAAGAGGUUGCCGCCCUGCAGAGGAAACUGGAUCAGGUGAGGCAGUUUGGCUGCAGGUCCUUCUCUUUACUGUUUGAUGACAUCGAGACUGAGAUGUGUCCAGCUGAUAAGCAGGCCUUCAGCUCCUUCGCUCACGCUCAGGUGGCCAUCACUAAUGCGGUGUACCAGCACCUGGGAGACCCUGAGACCUUCCUCUUCUGUCCUACAGAUUAUUGUGCUGCAUUCUGUACUCCCAACGUGUCCCAGUCCGCUUACCUGCACACUGUGGGAGAGAAGCUGCUGCCUGGGAUAGACAUACUGUGGACUGGUCCCAAAGUGGUAUCCCACAAAAUCUCUGUUGAGUCCAUAGAAGAGGUGUCCUCCGUCCUGAGGAGGGCACCAGUCAUCUGGGACAAUAUCCACGCAAACGACUAUGACCCCCAAAGGCUUUUCCUAGGACCCUUUAAGGAUCGUCCCACUGAGCUGAUUCCCAAACUGGGAGGAGUGCUCACCAAUCCCAACUGUGAGUUCUACCCAAACUUUGUGGCCAUCCACACUUUGGCUACAUGGUGCAAAGCAACCGCAGAUGGAGGACAGAGGGAUGUGGAAAUGAGCGAUGAGGAGCAGGACCCCUGCUACAGCCCCAAGAAAGCCCUGACCCUGGCCCUCACUGACUGGCUGCAGGAGUUUCUGAACACCGAUCAACCUGGAGCUCGUCUCAAGAAGGAGUCAUCAGGUGAGGAGCCCAUGCAGACAGAUGGGGGAGAGACCCCCCAUGUUCCUGGACCUGGGGAGAACCCGCUGUACACAGCCGAGCCCCUGACCCUGGAUGACUUGAAGCUGCUGUCGGACCUCUUCUACCUGCCGUACGAAUACGGGCCGACAGCCAGGACCAUGCUGCAGGAGCUGGACUGGCUUAGGAAACACAGUUGGGCCGCCGCUGCAGAGACAGACAAGACUGCGGAGUGGUGCUCAAGAGCGCAGCAGUUUGAUGGCAUGUGCGAAGCGGUGGUGCAGAUGUUUAAUCGACUGUCAAACGCCCCGAACCGCUGCAUUCUGUACGACCUCUACAACUACAUCUGUGACAUCAAGAGUGGGGUCGGUCUGGCUCGAGCCUACGUGAAAACACUAGGAGGGCAGGGUCGACCCUCAGCCCAGCUGAUGAACACUGAUCCUGAACCCUGGGGCUUUAGAGGAGGCCUCUCUGGAGAGUUCCAGAGAAUGCUGCCUUGCCACGGAAACAGGGACCUGUUCAGAGAGCCUCCCAUGUCGGCUGUUUACUGCAUACGGCCGUACUGCCCUGAGGACAAGACGGAGGUGCAAAGGAUUUUCAGAGAGAUGCAGAGCGCAGGAGAGGGAAAAGUUCCCUCGACGAUGCAGCCUCCACUCAUCUGUGACGGCCUGUCAGCUGGUGAGAUCUCCCCUUCCCCUCAGUGUGCUCUCGUUCUGGAGGAUGAGAUCGGGGUGUGUGGUUACGCCCUGGCCCUCACCGACGCCAAACCAGCCGCAGACAAAAUUCAGAGGGCAGUAAGUAAGGACUUCCCCUCCCUGGUUACCAUGCAAGUGCUGCCCCGGGUCACUGAUCCCUCUCCAGCCAAGCGCAUGAUUGGUCGGCUGUUGUCCAACGUCAGGAGCAGUGGUUCCAGAGGAGUGUUCUGUGAAUUGAGGCAGAGCAAUCGGAGGAUGAUUGACUUUUACACUAAACUGGGCUCCUUCGUACCCAUACAAAUGGCCGGUCUACCUCAAGACAUACUUGCCAUGGGGACAAGCCUGUGAACAAGAUCAUCAAUCACAAGGAUUGUGCUCAGGUUUGAAAUGUUUUUGAGAUAAAACUGAAUAAUUGCUAACUUUGCAGCAUGUCAAACUGAAAUUAGUUGUCAUUUUAGUAACCAUAAUGUUCUCCUGCAAAGUUGUAAAAUUAGUCAAGGAAAUGCUUAAUGAAAUGUGUGCAACAAAGUACUGUAUAAUGAUGGAAAAUGUAAUGCUACUGAGUUUGUAGACAUGAACAUUUUAAAUGCAUAGUGAUUAUUUAGAUGAAUGUGUUUUAACCAAGCAACAAUGUUGCUAUGUUCAUACCACCUUAAGUUUCUGGUUAGUUACAUCUGGCAGACACAUUAAAAACAAAAUGUAUACAUAACAAGACAUUAAAACAAGAAUAUAUUUUCAUUAUUUGUAUUUUGAGAGUAUACAAAAUGAAUAUAUGUAUAGAAAUAAAAUAGCUGGUGUGUCACUUGUUCUCUGGAUUGAGAAACUAAUGAUAUUCAGUUUAAUAACAUUUGAGGUG